rnacentral:rRNA from 1 species
GAUGAACGCUAGCUACAGGCUUAACACAUGCAAGUCGAGGGGCAGCAUUUUAGUUUGCUUGCAAACUGAAGAUGGCGACCGGCGCACGGGUGAGUAACACGUAUCCAACCUGCCGAUAACUCCGGAAUAGCCUUUCGAAAGAAAGAUUAAUACCGGAUAGUAUACGAAUAUCGCAUGAUAUUUUUAUUAAAGAAUUUCGGUUAUCGAUGGGGAUGCGUUCCAUUAGUUUGUUGGCGGGGUAACGGCCCACCAAGACUACGAUGGAUAGGGGUUCUGAGAGGAAGGUCCCCCACAUUGGAACUGAGACACGGUCCAAACUCCUACGGGAGGCAGCAGUGAGGAAUAUUGGUCAAUGGGCGAGAGCCCGAACCAGCCAAGUAGCGUGAGGGAUGAAGGCUCUAUGGGUCGUAAACUUCUUUUAUAUGGGAAUAAAGUUUUCCACGUGUGGAAUUUUGUACGUACCAUAUGAAUAAGGAUCGGCUAACUCCGUGCCAGCAGCCGCGGUAAUACGGAGGAUCCGAGCGUUAUCCGGAUUUAUUGGGUUUAAAGGGAGCGUAGGUGGAUUGUUAAGUCAGUUGUAAAAGUUUGCGGCUCAACCGUAAAAUUGCAGUUGAAACUGGCAGUCUUGAGUACAGUAGAGGUGGGCGGAAUUCGUGGUGUAGCGGUGAAAUGCUUAGAUAUCACGAAGAACUCCGAUUGCGAAGGCAGCUCACUAG